CCUGAUUGAAAUAUUCCGAAGAGGCUAUUCACAUUGGGCUGUUUAUGUGGGUUAUGGUUGUGUUGUCCACCUGGUACCUCCACUCAUUGCCGAUGUUGCGCCACUUAAGAGAGAACUGCUCUAUGUGAUGGUUGGAAGCAACAGGUACCAAGUGAACAAUAAGUAUGAUGACAGUGACCCGCCACUGCCACCUAGCCAGAUCGUGCAUCGAGCUUUGAAACUGGUGGGAAAGAUGGUUCCCUACAACCUCCUCAACAAUAACUGUGAACACUUUGCGACCCGACUGAGAUCUGGAGUCCCUCGCAGUGAUCAGAUCAGAAAUGCUCUCCUGAAAGUACCGGGUUUGGCUGUCAACCUCAUGGAGCUCAUG